UACAGAGGGUGCGAGCGUUGUUCGGAAUUAUUGGGCGUAAAGCGCUUGUAGGCGGCUUGUUAAGUUCCGUGUGAAAUCCCCAGGCUUAACCUGGGAACUGCAUCCGAUACUGGAUGGCUUGAAUCCGGGAGAGGGAUGCGGAAUUCCAGGUGUAGCGGUGAAAUGCGUAGAUAUCUGGAGGAACACCGGUGGCGAAGGCGGCAUCCUGGACCGGCAUUGACGCUGAGGAGCGAAAGCCAGGGGAGCAAACGGG
rnacentral:rRNA from 1 species